rnacentral:rRNA from 1 species
GGUGAAAAGCACCCCGGAAGGGGAGUGAAAUAGAACCUGAAACCGUGUGCUUACAAGUAGUCAGAGCCCGUUAAUGGGUGAUGGCGUGCCUUUUGUAGAAUGAACCGGCGAGUUACGAUUUGAUGCAAGGUUAAGCAGUAAAUGUGGAGCCGUAGCGAAAGCGAGUCUGAAUAGGGCGUUUAGUAUUUGGUCGUAGACCCGAAACCAGGUGAUCUACCCUUGGUCAGGUUGAAGUUCAGGUAACACUGAAUGGAGGACCGAACCGACUUACGUUGAAAAGUGAGCGGAUGAACUGAGGGUAGCGGAGAAAUUCCAAUCGAACCUGGAGAUAGCUGGUUCUCUCCGAAAUAGCUUUAGGGCUAGCCUCAAGUGAUGAUUAUUGGAGGUAGAGCACUGUUUGGACGAGGGGCCCCUCUCGGGUUACCGAAUUCAGACAAACUCCGAAUGCCAAUUAAUUUAACUUGGGAGUCAGAACAUGGGUGAUAAGGUCCGUGUUCGAAAGGGAAACAGCCCAGACCACCAGCUAAGGUCCCAAAAUAUAUGUUAAGUGGAAAAGGAUGUGGCGUUGCCCAGACAACUAGGAUGUUGGCUUAGAAGCAGCCAUCAUUUAAAGAGUGCGUAAUAGCUCACUAGUCGAGUGACACUGCGCCGAAAAUGUACCGGGGCUAAACAUAUUACCGAAGCUGUGGAUUGUCCUUUGGACAAUGGUAGGAGAGCGUUCUAAGGGCGUUGAAGCAUGAUCGUAAGGACAUGUGGAGCGCUUAGAAGUGAGAAUGCCGGUGUGAGUAGCGAAAGACGGGUGAGAAUCCCGUCCACCGAUUGACUAAGGUUUCCAGAGGAAGGCUCGUCCGCUCUGGGUUAGUCGGGUCCUAAGCUGAGGCCGACAGGCGUAGGCGAUGGAUAACAGGUUGAUAUUCCUGUACCACCUAUAAUCGUUUUAAUCGAUGGGGGGACGCAGUAGGAUAGGCGAAGCGUGCGAUUGGAUUGCACGUCUAAGCAGUAAGGCUGAGUAUUAGGCAAAUCCGGUACUCAUUAAGGCUGAGCUGUGAUGGGGAGAAGACAUUGUGUCUUCGAGUCGUUGAUUUCACACUGCCGAGAAAAGCCUCUAGAUAGAAAAUAGGUGCCCGUACCGCAAACCGACACAGGUAGUCAAGAUGAGAAUUCUAAGGUGAGCGAGCGAACUCUCGUUAAGGAACUCGGCAAAAUGACCCCGUAACUUCGGGAGAAGGGGUGCUCUUUAGGGUUAACGCCCAGAAGAGCCGCAGUGAAUAGGCCCAAGCGACUGUUUAUCAAAAACACAGGUCUCUGCUAAACCGUAAGGUGAUGUAUAGGGGCUGACGCCUGCCCGGUGCUGGAAGGUUAAGAGGAGUGGUUAGCUUCUGCGAAGCUACGAAUCGAAGCCCCAGUAAACGGCGGCCGUAACUAUAACGGUCCUAAGGUAGCGAAAUUCCUUGUCGGGUAAGUUCCGACCCGCACGAAAGGCGUAACGAUUUGGGCACUGUCUCAACGAGAGACUCGGUGAAAUCAUAGUACCUGUGAAGAUGCAGGUUACCCGCGACAGGACGGAAAGACCCCGUGGAGCUUUACUGUAGCCUGAUAUUGAAAUUCGGCACAGCUUGUACAGGAUAGG